UGAGAAACACCGUAUAACGGAAAGGUAAACAAAAUACAUAGAUGGUGAUGGCUCAAUGUCAAAAUAUGUGGAGAGGGCAAAAAAUAUCUUAAAAGAAUAAUACUCAAAAUAUUUAAAAGUAAAAUAUAAUUUUGACGCUGAAAUCGUAAAUCUCAGAACCAACAAAUGCUUAAUUGCAAAGUUAUUGAAAUUCAAUAUACUUUACAUCUGAGGCUCACUC
rnacentral:lncRNA from 1 species